rnacentral:rRNA from 1 species
UGUACUUCUGGUUAUUGCGAUGGAGGGACGGAGAAGGCUAGGCCAGCUUGGCGUUGGUUGUCCAAGUUUAAGGUGGUAGGCUGGAAUCUUAGGUAAAUCCGGGAUUCUAAGGCCGAGAGCUGAUGACGAGUGUUCUUUUAGAACACGAAGUGGUUGAUGCAUGCUUCCAAGAAAAGCUUCUAAGCUUCAGGUAACCAGGAACCGUACCCCAAACCGACACAGGUGGUUGGGUAGAGAAUACCAAGGCGCUUGAGAGAACUCGGGUGAAGGAACUAGGCAAAAUGGCACCGUAACUUCGGGAGAAGGUGCGCCGAUGGAGGUGAAGCAUUUACUGCGUAAGCCCCUGUCGGUCGAAGAUACCAGGCCGCUGCGACUGUUUAUUAAAAACACAGCACUCUGCAAACACGAAAGUGGACGUAUAGGGUGUGACGCCUGCCCGGUGCCGGAAGGUUAAUUGAUGGGGUUAGCUAACGCGAAGCUCUUGAUCGAAGCCCCGGUAAACGGCGGCCGUAACUAUAACGGUCCUAAGGUAGCGAAAUUCCUUGUCGGGUAAGUUCCGACCUGCACGAAUGGCGUAACGAUGGCGGCGCUGUCUCCACCCGAGACUCAGUGAAAUUGAAAUCGCUGUGAAGAUGCAGUGUAUCCGCGGCUAGACGGAAAGACCCCGUGAACCUUUACUAUAGCUUUGCACUGGACUUUGAAUUUGCUUGUGUAGGAUAGGUGGGAGGCUUUGAAGCGUGAACGCCAGUUUGCGUGGAGCCAACCUUGAAAUACCACCCUGGCAACUUUGAGGUUCUAACUCAGAUCCGUUAUCCGGAUCGAGGACAGUGUAUGGUGGGUAGUUUGACUGGGGCGGUCUCCUCCUAAAGAGUAACGGAGGAGUACGAAGGUGCGCUCAGACCGGUCGGAAAUCGGUCGUAGAGUAUAAAGGCAAAAGCGCGCUUGACUGCGAGACAGACACGUCGAGCAGGUACGAAAGUAGGUCUUAGUGAUCCGGUGGUUCUGUAUGGAAGGGCCAUCGCUCAACGGAUAAAAGGUACUCCGGGGAUAACAGGCUGAUACCGCCCAAGAGUUCAUAUCGACGGCGGUGUUUGGCACCUCGAUGUCGGCUCAUCACAUCCUGGGGCUGAAGCCGGUCCCAAGGGUAUGGCUGUUCGCCAUUUAAAGUGGUACGCGAGCUGGGUUUAGAACGUCGUGAGACAGUUCGGUCCCUAUCUGCCGUGGACGUUUGAGAUUUGAGAGGGGCUGCUCCUAGUACGAGAGGACCGGAGUGGACGAACCUCUGGUGUUCCGGUUGUCACGCCAGUGGCAUUGCCGGGUAGCUAUGUUCGGGAAAGAUAACCGCUGAAAGCAUCUAAGCGGGAAACUUGCCUCAAGAUGAGAUCUCACUGGAACCUUGAGUUCCCUAAAGGGCCGUCGAAGACUACGACGUUGAUAGGUUGGGUGUGUAAGCGCUGUGAGGCGUUGAGCUAACCAAUACUAAUUGCCCGUGAGGCUUGACCAU